rnacentral:pre_miRNA from 1 species
UCUUGUGGAUGAGCAAGGAAGCAGUUUCUUGAGAUGGAAACUACUGCUGGUGAAGAUACUGUGAA